UCGAGCGAGCUUGCCUAGAUGAAUUUGGUGCUUGCACCAGAUGAAACUAGAUACAAGCGAGCGGCGGACGGGUGAGUAACACGUGGGUAACCUGCCCAAGAGACUGGGAUAACACCUGGAAACAGAUGCUAAUACCGGAUAACAACACUAGACGCAUGUCUAGAGUUUAAAAGAUGGUUCUGCUAUCACUCUUGGAUGGACCUGCGGUGCAUUAGCUAGUUGGUAAGGUAACGGCUUACCAAGGCAAUGAUGCAUAGCCGAGUUGAGAGACUGAUCGGCCACAUUGGGACUGAGACACGGCCCAAACUCCUACGGGAGGCAGCAGUAGGGAAUCUUCCACAAUGGACGCAAGUCUGAUGGAGCAACGCCGCGUGAGUGAAGAAGGGUUUCGGCUCGUAAAGCUCUGUUGGUAGUGAAGAAAGAUAGAGGUAGUAACUGGCCUUUAUUUGACGGUAAUUACUUAGAAAGUCACGGCUAACUACGUGCCAGCAGCCGCGGUAAUACGUAGGUGGCAAGCGUUGUCCGGAUUUAUUGGGCGUAAAGCGAGUGCAGGCGGUUCAAUAAGUCUGAUGUGAAAGCCUUCGGCUCAACCGGAGAAUUGCAUCAGAAACUGUUGAACUUGAGUGCAGAAGAGGAGAGUGGAACUCCAUGUGUAGCGGUGGAAUGCGUAGAUAUAUGGAAGAACACCAGUGGCGAAGGCGGCUCUCUGGUCUGCAACUGACGCUGAGGCUCGAAAGCAUGGGUAGCGAACAGGAUUAGAUACCCUGGUAGUCCAUGCCGUANACGAUGAGUGCUAAGUGUUGGGAGGUUUCCGCCUCUCAGUGCUGCAGCUAACGCAUUAAGCACUCCG
rnacentral:rRNA from 1 species